rnacentral:rRNA from 1 species
UACAGAGGUCUCAAGCGUUGUUCGGAUUCAUUGGCGUAAAGGGUGCGUAGGCUGUAGGGUAAGUCUGGUGUGAAAUCCCGGGGCUCAACCCCGGAACUGCACUGGAUACUGCUUUACUAGAGCACUGGAGAGGGAACUGGAAUUUACGGUGUAGCAGUGAAAUGCGUAGAGAUCGUAAGGAAGACCAGUGGCGAAGGCGAGUUCCUGGACAGUUGCUGACGCUGAGGCACGAAGGCUAGGGGAGCAAACGGG